UAAAACCAACAAUAAAUAAAAAUCUCAAAAAGAUCAAGCAAAGCAAAUAAAUAAACUAGCAAACAAUCACGAUAUAAGAAAUUCUAAAUAAAGACGAAUACUACGGAAAGAAACAAAACUAGCCUCUCUCCUGGAUCCACGGAGUACUUACAACCUGGACAUAGCUACAAAUAAGAGCAUCGACAGCAGCGCCUUCGUCUGUCUUCCCCUCCGGGCCACUGAAGACUGGAUGACAGCGACUGAUGACGCCCCUAGAGUUAUCAAAUCAACAAUACAACUAACAAACCAGCUAAAUGUAAUUAUAUUUAAGAAUAGUAAUCCAAAUUAAAUUUAAAGCAUAGUAAUCCGAAUUGAAUUUAAAGAAUAGUAAUCUAAAUUGAAUUUAAUGAAGAAAAUCUGACUUAGUCUUUACUCUUCCCCACCAAAUUAAAUCUUUAUAAAUAAAUAUAACUUUACUAGAUAGAUAUAUAUAUGUAUAUAAAAAAAGAAAACACUCAUUUAUUUGUAAAAUUCAAACUUUAGUAAUAAACACUUAUAUUAAGUUUCGCCUACUACUAGCUUAUAAUACUUACCACAUAAGUGAAUUGUAAAUAAGCUGCCAACUAAUUUCUAGAAAGUACUAACGCAAAGCACUGAGAAAUGAAUAAAGACACCCUGUUCCCUCUUCUCUCACCUUUACGCUGCUGGGCAGCCUAAAGCUUGAGGCGAGAAAAAGCAGGGCAAUUGUGUAUGUGAUUCCCUCGCAUGCAGGCUGAA